rnacentral:rRNA from 1 species
GUGAGUAACCUGCCUUACAGAGGGGGAUAACGUCUGGAAACGGACGCUAAUACCGCAUGACAUUUCAGCACCACAUGGUGCAGAAAUCAAAGGAGCAAUCCGCUGUAAGAUGGACUCGCGUCCGAUUAGCUAGAUGGUGAGAUAACAGCCCACCAUGGCGACGAUCGGUAGCCGGACUGAGAGGUUGAACGGCCACAUUGGGACUGAGACACGGCCCAGACUCCUACGGGAGGCAGCAGUGGGGGAUAUUGCACAAUGGAGGAAACUCUGAUGCAGCAACGCCGCGUGAAGGAAGACGGUCUUCGGAUUGUAAACUUUUGUACUUGGGGACGAUAAUGACGGUACCCAAGCAGCAAGCUCCGGCUAACUACGUGCCAGCAGCCGCGGUAAUACGUAGGGAGCGAGCGUUGUCCGGAUUUACUGGGUGUAAAGGGUGCGUAGGCGGCUUGGCAAGUCAGUUGUGAAAACUAUGGGCUCAACCCAUAGCCUGCAAUUGAAACUGUUGAGCUUGAGUGAAGUAGAGGUAGGUGGAAUUCCCGGUGUAGCGGUGAAAUGCGUAGAGAUCGGGAGGAACACCAGUGGCGAAGGCGACCUACUGGGCUUUAACUGACGCUGAGGCACGAAAGCAUGGGUAGCAAACAGGAUUAGAUACCCUGGUAGUCCAUGCCGUAAACGAUGAUUACUAGGUGUGGGGGGUCUGACCCCCUCCGUGCCGGAGUUAACACAAUAAGUAAUCCACCUGGGGAGUACGACCGCAAGGUUGAAACUCAAAGGAAUUGACGGGGGCCCGCACAAGCAGUGGAGUAUGUGGUUUAAUUCGAAGCAACGCGAAGAACCUUACCAGGUCUUGACAUCCAGCUAACGAAGCAAAGAUGCAUUAGGUGCCCUUC